rnacentral:rRNA from 1 species
CCCUUAGAUGUUCUGGGCUGCACGCGCGCUACACUGAUGCGUUCAACGAGUUUUUAGCUUAUCUGAUAAGAUUGGCUAAUCUUCUGAAAACGCAUCGUGAUGGGGAUAGAUUAUUGUAGUUAUUAAUCUUCAACGAGGAAUUCCUAGUAGGUGUGAAUCAUCAGUUCACGCCGAUUACGUCCCUGCCCUUUGUACACACCGCCCGUCGCACCUACCGAUUGAAUGGUCCGGUGAAAUCUCGGGACGGCGGCUUGGUCGCUUGCGUCCGACUGCUGAAACUUGAUUAAACCAUAUCAUUUAGAGGAAGGUGAAGUCGUANCA